CACGCAGGUGGCUUGGCAAGUCGGAUGUGAAAGCCCCGGGCUUAACCUGGGAACUGCAUUCGAUACUGCCGAGCUAGAGUAUGGGAGAGGAAAGCGGAAUUCCCGGUGUAGCGGUGAAACGCGUAGAUAUCGGGAGGAACAUCAGUGGCGAAGGCGGCUUUCUGGCCCAAUACUGACACUCAUGUGCGAAAGCGUGGGGAGCAAACA
rnacentral:rRNA from 1 species